AUGUCGGGGGAGAGGCCAACAGAUCGGAAACGGCCGCCACCGAGGGGCAACGCACCACCGCCACCACCUGCCGCCCCCUCGCCGCCCCCGCGGCCGAGGAGGACGGCCAGCACCGCCGGACACCGCCCGCUGAGGCAGGCACUGGCCCACCAGCCAUGGCUGCCGCCAUGGAUGCAGGGCACCUCGAGAGAGAGCGAGGCUACCAGAUCCUCGCCGCCACCAUCCUUGGCAGCCGCGCGGCGCACCGGCGACCCCUCUGGUGGCGACGAGGGGGAGAGGCAGAGGUGGGGAAGCCGGCGGCCGCGGCUAGGGUUUGCCGCCCGUGUCGCCCCAGGUGGAGCGACGCGGGGGCGAGCGAGAGGGGGUGGUUUUUUUUUGCCGGGCGAUUUCAACCUCCAUGAUAACAGAAUUGACGGUGCUUUUGCCAUCGACAUGCAUGUAGGGGAUGUGCUAGCUUCUCUCGCGUGCGAGUGUGAGGUUGGUGGGGACAAUGUUGUCCCCAAGUGCCUACUCGGACGCGUCCUCACUGUCCCAAAGCGAGGCAGCCCGAAAAUUUUCUCCGUUGUCAACAGAGGCAACCUGCUUGGUCAUUGA
rnacentral:rRNA from 1 species